GCUUGGCGUUCCUCCCUGCCGGGCCCGAAAGGCUUGGCGUUCCUCCCUGCCGGGCCCGAAAGGCUUGGCGUUCCUCCCUGCCGGGCCCGAAAGGCUUGGCGUUCCUUGAAUAACUCUUGAAUAAGUUUUUUCAGUGGAUCAUGAGAUGAGUGAGGCACAAAUCCAGGAUCAUGGUUGCAUAGCUAGCAAUGAGCAUUUCCAGUCGUUUUCUCAGAAGUGGGACAGGACUUCGCAAACUAAGGAACCAAGCAAAGAAGAGCUUCCCUUUCAACAUCUAACAAAGGAUCCCAUCCUGCUUCUGAAGCACUGUUAUCAACACAAGUGCUGAGGGUGGCCCAGCUGGGUAAAUAUGCAUUGACAUAAUGACAAAUCUCUCCGGUGGCUGAGGGGAAUGGUGGGCCCUAGAGAAGGCAGGAAGAGGCUGAGGAGAGCAACCCCACAGCAGAUGCCCAUUCCCUUUCUGGCUGGGUUUGCAAAAGCCUCGUGUACACUCAAGGUCAUGAGGCUUUUGCAAAGAGGGGGCAUAGUUUCCCGGGAAACGACUUCACCCCAGGAGUGGAAUCCACACCUUAGUUUACAGAGCUCCCUUCAAACUAGUUACUGAAGUUGCAGCUCAGGUUUGCACCCAUUCCAUCUCUUGAUUCCGAGUGUGGGUCCCCAACCCCCCCCUUCCCCUGGCUCCGCAUCCAGUGCGGGGUGCAAAUGUCACGUCUAGUCCUGGCAGGGUGCAAGAAACAAGGCUGGACCCCACAGUGAACCAGUCUGUAGGGCCAAGCAGGGGGGCAGAGGGUGCUCUAGUGAAAGCGAUCCCCGCCCUCUCUUGGCCUUCUGCAGGGACACCUCGGCAUCCACUCACCCCCCCCCUCAGGUGACAGUGUAGGAUUAGCUGGUCGCCAUUUGGGGCCGAGUAGGAAUUUUCCCCAUCCACCCGGAUUGGCCUGGAGGUGGCUGGUUUUUCGCCUACUCUGCACUGUUGCACUGGAAGGGAUUUUUGAUCGGGCGGAUGUUAGGAGUGGUGCCGCUAAAUAGUGUAGCCCCAUGGUCACCAUGGCAGGUCUGGGAGGGGGGGAUGUAAUGCCCCACCCCAUUGGUGGCAGGUGCGAUUUCCCCCAGCUACACAGCAGUUCUCUGCUAAUACGAGUCAAUAAACUGAUGGCCCUAGUUUCAACCAA